CGUAGGUGGUUCGUUAAGUUGGAUGUGAAAUCCCCCGGGCUCAACCUGGGAACUGCAUUCAAAACUGUCGAGCUAGAGUAUGGUAGAGGGUGGUGGAAUUUCCUGUGUAGCGGUGAAAUGCGUAGAUAUAGGAAGGAACACCAGUGGCGAAGGCGACCACCUGGACUGAUACUGACACUGGGGUGCGAAAGCGUGGGGAGCAAACA
rnacentral:rRNA from 1 species